rnacentral:lncRNA from 1 species
GGGGCUGUACGAGCUGGUGUGGCGGGUGCUGCACGCGCUGCUCUGUCUGCACCGCACGCUCACCUCCUGGCUCCGCGUUCGGUUCGGCACCUGGAACUGGAUCUGGCGGCGCUGCUGCCGAGCCGCCUCUGCCGCGGUCCUAGCGCCGCUCGGCUUCACGCUCCGCAAGCCCCCGGCAGUCGGCAGGAACCGCCGUCACCACCGGCACCCGCGCGGGGGGUCGUGCCUGGCAGCCGCACACCACCGGAUGCGCUGGCGCGCGGACGGUCGUUCCUUGGAGAAGCUGCCUGUGCAUAUGGGCCUGGUGAUCACCGAGGUGGAGCAGGAACCCAGCUUCUCGGACAUCGCGAGCCUCGUGGUGUGGUGUAUGGCCGUGGGCAUCUCCUACAUUAGCGUCUACGACCACCAAGGUAUUUUCAAAAGAAAUAAUUCCAGAUUGAUGGAUGAAAUUUUAAAACAACAGCAAGAACUUCUGGGCCUAGAUUGUUCAAAAUACUCACCAGAAUUUGCAAAUAGUAAUGACAAAGACGAUCAAGUUUUAAAUUGCCAUUUGGCAGUGAAGGUGCUGUCUCCGGAAGAUGGAAAAGCAGAUAUUGUAAGAGCUGCUCAGGACUUUUGCCAGUUAGUGGCCCAGAAGCAAAAGAGACCCACAGAUUUGGAUGUAGAUACGUUAGGCAGUUUACUUAGUUCAAAUGGUUGUCCUGAUCCUGAUUUAGUAUUGAAGUUCGGUCCUGUGGACAGCACAUUAGGCUUUCUUCCCUGGCACAUCAGAUUGACUGAGAUUGUCUCUUUGCCUUCCCACCUAAACAUCAGUUAUGAGGACUUUUUCUCUGCCCUUCGUCAAUAUGCAGCCUGUGAACAGCGUCUGGGAAAGUAGUGGUCAUUGGUUGCGUAAUUUGAUUUGAGGCUUGUGGAGGAAAGGACCCAAGUGACUCUGAUGUUUACAAAGCACCUAUGAAACCCUGUACACACCUGGUUCAUAAUCCUCAUAAUUUAUCAACAAACACAAAAAAGUGUCUUACUUGAGAGUGAGUGUGUGUGUGUGGGUGUGCACGUGCACACAUGUGCACGUUUGUAUGCAUGGAAAUAAACUUAUAAAUGGGGACGUAUUGGAGAAGGAAAUACAUAGACCUACAACUUUGAGCAAAUAGCAGUGAUGUUUUAGGAACUGAAAUGUCACACUUAAAGUCUUCAGCCCAGCUACUUCCCUAUUUUUGUGGGGAGAAGAGGGCCUGAUUAGAACUGUUCUGGUUGUGUUUGGCGGGAGGGGAAUAAUUUUUGUUCAGUCCUUCUUAGUGACCAAACUUUAAUUUUUAAGAAUAAUAUAUUGACUUACUGAACUGAAGCAUUCUGAGUUGAAAGGAGCUCCAGAGGAGUGGAGUUCUGUGUUGCUCACAUGUUAAAAUCUUGCUCACCUUCAGAGCAGAGGGAAUACCUAUCUUCAGAUAUCCGUCCAUUUUCAUCUCUUAAUUGUAGUCAAAAGUAUGACUUGAGAGUGUUGCUCUGGUAUUCUGGGUUCUGAAGUCUGGUAUUCUGGUAUUCUGGGUUCAAAAGUAUGACUUGAGAGUGUUGCUCUGGUAUUCUGAGAGUUGCUCUGUAUUCUGGGUUCUGAAGAUUAUUUGAAAAAUAACUCCUACUACAUUGAAAUGCAGACUUUUAAAAAUUUAAACAUUGGAUUAGGCAGUCAAAAAAACCAAGCAAGCAUAAAAGGUCAAUAAGUUGUAAUCUUGAUAGUAAAGGUGGAAAACUUAUUAUAAAUGGAAAGAAAGUUUUGGUUUCCUUUUUUGUUUGAUGGGCAGUAUGCCAUAUUAUACCCAAAGUUCUUUUAAAAAAUAUUUCCAUCAACCAUUUUUAUUUAAAAUAAACAUUUGAGGGAAGUUACCAAGGCAGCUUUUUUCCUCAAAAGUAACCUGUUCCUCUUUGGAAUAGCACAUUUUAGGGGCAUGGUUAAUACCUGAGAUUUUUACUCAGUAAAUCCUGAUGGUUACUGUGUGUAAAAUAUCUUUAAGUAGGAUUGAAGGCCUCUGUGGGGAAAUAAAAUAUUACCAAAGUCUAUAAAAAUAAAUUUUACAUGUUCUCUUUUAUGACAGAGAGCAGCACUGGUUCUGUUAUUUUUAAAAUGAAUAAUUGAUUUCUUGAUAGGUGUUUAAUAUUUCUUCCCUCACUGCUGAUUCUUAGAUAGAAACCAUUCUUUAUAUUUGAUAGACUGUUUUCAGAAAACCCUUAUCAACAAGUGUACAAUACUUAUCUAAAACUAUACAUUUAGAAUGGAGCAGUUUAAUACUAGAUCUCAGAAGUUUUGAAAAAUAGCAAAGAAGACUGGAUUUGGAAAGCAUGGUCUACAAUUGGUUGUUAAAUUCUGAAGCUAUGAAGAAUAAAUGUUUCAACUUUGGAUUAUGAAACCCCAUUUAUGAUUUUUUAAAUACACUUGAAAUAAAAAUGAUUAAACUAAAUUUUGGUCCAGUGACAUUACUUUGCACUGCAUAAUCCAUUAUACAUUGUACGACUUUUUUUUUUUGUUUUAAUUUAUUACUGAGAGUUUUGUGUGAAGCUACAGCAUAUCUAAUCAGAGAAUUUCUGAUUCCUUAUACUGUGAUUAUAUUAUAUUGAGGCAUUUGUAGUGCCGCUGAAGACUGAAUUUAUGCCUUUUGUAAACAUGAUAGGUAUAAAUGUCUUAUAAACAUUCUGGAGUAUGUAUAGCUUUAAUGAAUGAAAUUUAAUGGACCUGAUUAAAAUGAAGGGAUUUAAUCGUUGUUAAAGUUAAGUUAGUCAAAUAAAUUACCUACUGGAAUAUAGCCCAAGCCAGUAAAGGUUUAUUAUUUGCAUUUUCAUGCUUUUAUUUUCUCCUUCCAUUCAUAAGUAUAUACUUGAAAGUACAUCUGUAGCCUAUGAUUUGAGUCUAUUGAAGUUCUAGGAAGAGGCAAACUACAAACUACUAGGAUUCUGAUUUCAGAUGUAGUCAUUCCAGAACCUUCUCUUUAUGAGUUCACCUGCUAGUACAAUCUCCACAACUUGAAUGGCAUUGGUUGUUCUAUAAUUCCUGCCACAAGCAUCACAAGUUGUACAUCAUCAAGGCUCCCUUUGCACUCCCAAGAAGAACUGGUAAUUUUAAACAAAAGUAUGUGUCUUUAUUUGUAUUGGAAAAUACUGUCUUUAAAUUGUUUCUUGUUGACACUCCCCACAAUGGAAAAAUUACCGAAUUAAACCUGUUUUAUGGAUGGCAGCUUGGAGCAUAGCAAGAAGUUGGAGGAUUUGAAUUCCAUUCCCAGUUCUCAUUGUGUUUUGUUUCUUAAAACUAUAAUAAUCGGUUACUGUUAUAAAGUUUAAAAGGUGGUUUUAAUGUGAAUAGCAAAUUCUGGUAUAUCGUGACUAACGCUUAAGAAUGCCUGUCUUUGAGAGGAAGGUGUUAUAAUAUUAAUGAACAGUGCCAAAUACACUGUGCAUAUCUGCAAUUUAAUCUUUGAAUGUAUGUUACUGGAUUAGCUCCCUCCUCCUGUGUGAUGGUACCAUGCAUAGAGUCAAUCAAAUCCUUGUGAUGUUUUGUAUGGACUUUGACAACAUGUAAAUAAUGUGUAAAGCCAGUUUUUAUGAUUAAGGAAUCAAAUUUAUUGAAUUUUAUUAUUGAAAGUUGAAACUUAACAUGUAUGAACAAAAACCAAUAAAAGAAUAUACUCUUUUCAUUGAAAAAAAAA